ensembl:lncRNA
GUUUUAAAACAUCAGCCAAUCUUUAUUUACAAGUCCUUAUGACAAUAAAAUAAACAUACAUAUGGUGGUGGUGGGUUCCGUCCUGAACGCAAGUAAAAACCAACAUUUUAAGUUGAAAACUGCGUUAAAUCCUCAACUAAAUUCUCCACUUGAUAAGUUAGCAGGACUAGUGAAGCAGUUGGCAGAGUAUGCUGUGUAAGGUUCAUCAUCUUAGGUAAAGACACACGAUUAAUAUAUUUAAACUUGCAUAUAGUAGUUUUUCCUCAUUCAGUCAUUUUAUACUUCACUCUGUUCAAAGAGGAAACGUAUAACUACCGAGACAAAUCUCCCAGGACAAGUUGACGGGCAACUCUAGCAGGACAGAACAUAAGUUAACACACACACUCCACUUUCCACACUGCAAAACGACACUCCGUCAUGCAGGCAUUAACGUGUCAGGAAAAAAAGACGAGUGAUAUGUGGAGGUAAAACUGACUUAAGGGAAAGCGUUUCCUGGUUGGGGGGUGUUUCAAUCAAAUAUUCAGCAUAACGGAUGAGGAUGGAGGACACAUUUAGAUAAGGGCAGGCAAAGAGGGCUGGGCUGAUUAACCAAACCCAUGGCACUUAGACCAAUAAGGGAGUAAAAUCAGACAACAGAUCCGAGGUAAAGCACAGACAAGAAUAUCCAUCGCCAUCGUCGAUGCUUUUACUCGUGGCUUUGACAACACUCUGCAUACAGAAUGUGAUAUAAUGUCGGCUCAUAAAAAAAGGUGGUUUUGGGCAGAACAAUGUACACCCGGUGGCAAACAAAAAUGUGUGUCUAAAGAAAUCUGCUUGUGUCCGUCAUUCUCUUUACUGGAAACACGCAUGACUACAAACAGCGAUGGGUUUCAUUCACACAUUUGCUUGUUUUUUUUUACGUCGCACUUCACUCUUUUAUAUUCGCAUUUCAGUUUGGGUUUUCAAAAGGUCCUGUAGUUCUGUGACUAUUAAUAUAUAUAUUAAUCACAAAAAAGAGGACAGGCAUGAGAGGUGCAAUGGAGCAAGCAACAGCAUGUACACAAUGCUGUGCACAUUUGUAAACACCUGUAAUGCAAAUAACAGCAAAAAUCUGAAGUUUCCCACACACACAGACACAGUACAUUUCUGAUCACUUUGUCAUUUGUAGAUAAAACUGUUAGAGGGCUUCCUGACACUGAAAAAACAAAAAUGUUUAUUUGAGACUAAAUGAAGAAUUUAUAAAAAAAAUAACUGUUCGUAACGGGAUGAAUAAAGCACAUUUUAAAAAGGGACAUUCCUGUUUUAAGUCAUGUUUGUUUGGAAAUCAGGCCCUCCACCGUGUCCUUUAACAAAAUUAAAAAAAAGUUGCCCAGACAUAAUAAGUUUCUGUGUCUGUUGAGAACUUACUCAAAAUAAAUGCAGCACCAAAGUCCUUUUUCCAGAGAAAAACUAACUGGAUGCAAUAUGGGAUUAUUGUUAGAGUUAAGAGUUGGAAGAUCUUCCUCACAGAUACUGAAUGUCUGAGACAGAGGGGCUUCGUUCCACCUCCGGCCGACAGCUAUUGCUUUGGGCCUGAGGAGCAAAGUCGUGGAUCCACGGGUACAUAUUCCACAGGCAAAGGC